rnacentral:rRNA from 1 species
UACCUCAGUAACGGCGAGUGAAGCGGUAACAGCUCAAAUUUGAAAUCUGGCCUCACGGUCCGAGUUGUAAUUUGUAGAGGAUGCUUCGAGCAUGGUCUGGCCUAAGUUCCUUGGAACAGGACGUCAUAGAGGGUGAGAAUCCCGUAUGCGGCCAGGUGCCUACGCUCAUGUGAAGCUCCUUCGACGAGUCGAGUUGUUUGGGAAUGCAGCUCAAAAUGGGUGGUAAAUUUCAUCUAAAGCUAAAUAUUGGCCAGAGACCGAUAGCGCACAAGUAGAGUGAUCGAAAGAUGAAAAGCACUUUGGAAAGAGAGUUAAACAGUACGUGAAAUUGUUGAAAGGGAAGCGCUUGCAACCAGACUUGCGCGCGGCCGAUCAUCCGGUGUUCUCACCGGUGCACUCGGCCGUGCUCAGGCCAGCAUCGGUUUUGGCGGCUGGAUAAAGGCCCUAGGAAUGUAGCUCCUCUCGGGGAGUGUUAUAGCCUAGGGUGCAAUGCAGCCUGCUGGGACCGAGGACCGCGCUUCGGCUAGGAUGCUGGCGUAAUGGUUGUAAGCGGCCCGUCUUGAAACACGGACCAAGGAGUCUAACAUCUAUGCGAGUGUUUGGGUGUCAAACCCAUACGCGUAAUGAAAGUGAACGGAGGUGAGAACCCUUAAGGGUGCAUCAUCGACCGGUCCUGAAGUUUACGGAAGGAUCUGAGUAAGAGCAUAGCUGUUGGGACCCGAAAGAUGGUGAACUAUGCCUGAAUAGGGUGAAGCCAGAGGAAACUCUGGUGGAGGCUCGCAGCGGUUCUGACGUGCAAAUCGAUCGUCAAAUUUGGGUAUAGGGGCGAAAGACUAAUCGAACCAUUGACCUGUAGG